GGAGCAGGCAUUGCCACAGCUGUGUCAUAGGUUGCAGCUGAAGCUGUCCUGGGAACUUCCAUAUGUCACAGUGCACUGCCCCCCCCAAAAGAAUGGCCUGAACAAUCACUAUGGUGACAUUAAUUUUUAUCUGCAGCUCUCUGAGCUCGUCUCUGUGCAGCAGAAUUUGAGCAGCUUUAUGAGAAUGCAUUUCCUGUGUCAAAACCAAGAAGAUGAUCAUCUAAAGCAACAGGCAAACCUUCUUUUGUUUCAUCUGCUCCAGCAGCUGCAUCCUGUGUCAGGAACUCCUGGACCACCAUAUGAAUUGCCUCAACGGUUACCAGUGUAGCUGGCAGGGUUGCAGUGGUACUGGCUUCUGGCUUGGUCCCCCAGACUUCCACCAGGAGAGGAGAGGCGUGGAGUGAGAGAGGCAGGCACCAACCACGUGCUGAGAGGAGCCUGUUUAUUCUUUGCCUUCCUCAACUCGCGUGAGUUUCACCUCUGCUCCUUCUAAGAUUUCCCCUUUUUAGCAGGAUACCAGUCAUGUUGGAUUAGGGCCCACUCUAGUGAUCUCUUUUAAACCUGAUUACCUCUGGAAAGACCCUAUCUCCAAAUGAGGACACCCUGUGAGUACUGCAGUCUCCUUUGCAGGCAGAGGUGUCAGAUGACACACGGGCUUAGGAUUUCUUGGAUGUUUUGCUUUUCUGACAGUUUCCUCCUAUUUGCGCCCCCUUGUUCUGCUUCUCUGGAACAUAGUGGUGGUGCUGGAGUUGUACUGGCCUGUGGAUGACCAGGACGCACAGAGAGGAGGACGAUGAUGUAAAGAGACAGAGAGCCACAGGGAGAACACAGAGGCGGAAAUUAGAGACAUGCAGCAGCAAACCAAGGAACACAAGAACUGAUGGCCUCACCAGAAGCCAAGAGAAAGUAGGAAGUUGUACCCAGAGUCUCAGAAGGAGUGUGGCCCUGCUGACACCAUGAUUUUGGACUUCUAGCCUCCAGAACUGUGAGCAAAUACAUUUCUGUUAUUUAAGAUGCUAAAUUUGUGGUACUUUGUUACAGCAGCCUCAGGGUACUUAUACCCACCCUAAUGCAUUCACUUUCUCCUCUGGGUCUCCAGACUCUGUUUUGAUGCAAGAGCCUCUUAACCGGUCCCUCAGCUUCCAGUGUUACUUCCUUUCCAUUCCUGCUCCAUGAAACAGCUUGAAUGAGCUUUCUUUGUAUUUUGUAUUAAUUUUUUAAAAAAUUUUGGCCACGCCCAUAGUAUUUAGAACUUCCUGGGCCAGGGAUUGAACCUGAGCCAUGGCAGUGACAAUGCUGAAUCCCUAACUGCUAGGCUGCUAGGGAACUCCUAUUUAUUCACGUACAGUUGAUGUAUAAUUUGUGUUAACUUCUGCUGUACGACACAGUGAUUUGGGUUUAUAAUAUAGACAUUCUUUUAAAAAAUAUUCUUUUGCAUGAUGGUUUAUCAUAGGAUAUCAUAUAGUGCAGUUCCCCGUGCUGUACAGUAGGACCUUGUUGUUUAUCCAUUCUAUAUAUAAUAACUUACAUCUAACCCCGACCUCCCACUUCAGCCCUCCGCCAGCCCCCUCCUUCUUGACAACCACAAGUCUGUUCUUCAUGUCCACAAAUCUGUGUCUAUAUGAAUGAGCUUGCUAAAGCUCAAAUUACUGUCCUGUUUACACACGUUUCAAUGGCUUCCUGAUAUUCUAAAGAUAAAUUCUGAACUCCUUACCUGAUAGCAAAAGGCCGUAUGUGCCUCUCCAGCAUCAAUUAGUCUCGCGCUUUGCAGCUACUUUCCGUGCCUGCAAUUCCACCAUUGUUCCUACCCUGUUUGACCUCUCGGCUUUCAUUCUCAUUAGAGGUCUUUUCUCCUAAGAAGCCAUCCUCGACUCUCCUGAUAGCGGUAUCACCCUUGCUGCAUGCUCUCUGAAAGUCUGGUUCUCUCUCCAUCAGAGCACAGAUCCCAUUUGUUACACUGCCUGCCUGGUUGUCUGUCUGCCUUCCUAUUCUGUAAGCUCCUGGGAGAGGGACUGUCUCCUCCAGCACGAUAGCAUCAGUGACCAACUGUGACUGCCCCAUUUCAGAUGCUCACUAUAGUGGAUUGAUGGGAACUGCUUUCCCCUGAGCUCCAGAUUUUGCAAGAUUUUAACUACUAAACAGUUUAUUACUUAAGUUAACCUUGUGGGGUUUAUCGGGGGUAUCCAUGCAUGAUUUUCUUUCCUUUAUUUCUUCCUCCCUCCCUCCCUCUCUCUCUUGCUUUCUUUCUGUCUUUCUUCCUGGCCACCCCAUGGCAUACAGAGUUCCCAAGACAGGGAUCAGAUCUGAGCUGCAGUUGUGAGCUGUGUUCCAGAGACACUGCCGAUCCUGUUACACGACGCUCCUUUUUUUAAAAAAAAUUUGAAAAUUGUUUUAAGAACUUCCAAGCUGUUUUCUUUUUGAGGAAUAACCCCGAGCCUAACAAUCCUGGUUUUCAAAUCUAGUCCAUCUCCUUCCAUUUCACAGAUAAGGAAACCGAGGCCCAGAGAGGGCAGAUGACUUGUCUAAGGUUGAAGUGGGUUGGUAAGGUCCCCAGGCUAAAACCCAACUUUUCUGAAUUCCAUCCAGGAUUUUCUCUGCUCUUUCACGAUAGCUAAGCCAGAUGUAUAUUGAUGUAAUGCUUAACAACCAGCUCUCUCGGGGGAGAAAAGAGCAUUGAUUUGUAACAUUUGUCAGUUUCUGUGAUAGGCAGGCUUUCACCUUGGCUAAUUUCAAGCUACCUAUGUGAAGUCACUGACCAUGAGCCUUGGUUCCAAUAGACUCCAAAUUUCAUGCGCUCUGCUUUCUUAAAUGUCUGUAGUGUUGGAGGCUCCAGCCCCAGCCCCCAAAAGUGGCUAUUGCCAGAACAUGCUAAAUUCUGGCAAUGAAAUGAUGUAAAAGGCUAUAAAUAAAAAUAAAAGAUCCCAAAGGAAUGAC
rnacentral:lncRNA from 1 species